GACGAACGCUGGCGGCGUGCUUAACACAUGCAAGUCGAACGCUGAAGCUCAGCUUUUGUUGGGUGGAUGAGUGGCGAACGGGUGAGUAACACGUGAGUAACCUGCCCCCUUCUUUGGGAUAACGCCCGGAAACGGGUGCUAAUACUGGAUAUUCACUGGUCUUCGCAUGGGGGCUGGUGGAAAGGGUUUUUCUGGUGGGGGAUGGGCUCGCGGCCUAUCAGCUUGUUGGUGGGGUGAUGGCCUACCAAGGCUUUGACGGGUAGCCGGCCUGAGAGGGUGACCGGUCACAUUGGGACUGAGAUACGGCCCAGACUCCUACGGGAGGCAGCAGUGGGGAAUAUUGCACAAUGGGCGCAAGCCUGAUGCAGCGACGCCGCGUGAGGGAUGGAGGCCUUCGGGUUGUGAACCUCUUUCGCUCAUGGUCAAGCCGCAACAAUGGUUGUGGUGAGGGUAGUGGGUAAAGAAGCGCCGGCUAACUACGUG
rnacentral:rRNA from 1 species